CCUACGGGAGGCAGCAGUGAGGAAUAUUGGUCAAUGGACGAGAGUCUGAACCAGCCAAGUAGCGUGAAGGAUGACUGCCCUAUGGGUUGUAAACUUCUUUUAUAUGGGAAUAAAACAGGGUAUGCAUACCCUCUUGUAUGUACCAUAUGAAUAAGGAUCGGCUAACUCCGUGCCAGCAGCCGCGGUAAUACGGAGGAUCCGAGCGUUAUCCGGAUUUAUUGGGUUUAAAGGGCGCGUAGGUGGAUUGUUAAGUCAGUUGUGAAAGUUUGCGGCUCAACCGUAAAAUUGCAGUUGAAACUGGCAGUCUUGAGUACAGUAGAGGUGGGCGGAAUUCGUGGUGUAGCGGUGAAAGGCUUAGAUAUCACGAAGAACUCCGAUUGCGAAGGCAGCUCACUGGACUGCAACUGACACUGAUGCUCGAAAGUGUGGGUAUCAAACAGGAUUAGAUACCCUUGUAGUC
rnacentral:rRNA from 1 species